AACCUGUGAUGUUGGCACUUCCUUAGUAUUGUCCUGAAAUGUUUCCAUGCCUUGUACAAGGAUUCACCUUCAUAUUGUUUAAAAUUGGUGAUUUUUUGCCUAAGCU
rfam:Gossypium raimondii chromosome 4, whole genome shotgun sequence.